rnacentral:rRNA from 1 species
AUUGAACGCUGGCGGCAGGCCUAACACAUGCAAGUCGAGCGGCAGCGGAAGGAAGCUUGCUUCCUUGCCGGCGAGCGGCGGACGGGUGAGUAAGGUAUGGGGAUCUGGCCGAAGGCGGGGGAUAACCACUGGAAACGGUGGCUAAUACCGCAUAAUCUCUAAGGAGCAAAGUGGGGGACCGUUCAGGCCUCACACCUUCGGAUGAACCCAUAUGAGAUUAGCUAGUAGGUGGGGUAAUGGCUCACCUAGGCGACGAUCUCUAGCUGGUCUGAGAGGAUGAUCAGCCACACUGGGACUGAGACACGGCCCAGACUCCUACGGGAGGCAGCAGUGGGGAAUAUUGCACAAUGGGCGCAAGCCUGAUGCAGCCAUGCCGCGUGUAUGAAGAAGGCCUUCGGGUUGUAAAGUACUUUCAGUCGUGAGGAAGGUGUUAAGGUUAAUAACCUUAGCAAUUGACGUUAACGACAGAAGAAGCACCGGCUAACUCCGUGCCAGCAGCCGCCGUAA